rnacentral:rRNA from 1 species
UACGGAGGGGGCUAGCGUUAUUCGGAAUUACUGGGCGUAAAGCGCACGUAGGCGGCUUUGUAAGUCAGAGGUGAAAGCCUGGAGCUCAACUCCAGAACUGCCUUUGAGACUGCAUCGCUUGAAUCCAGGAGAGGUGAGUGGAAUUCCGAGUGUAGAGGUGAAAUUCGUAGAUAUCGGGAGGAACACCAGUGGCGAAGGCGGCUCUCUGGAACGGUACUGACGCUGAGACGCGGAAAGCGUGGGGAGCGAACAGG